GUGGGGAAUCUUGCGCAAUGGGCGAAAGCCUGACGCAGCCAUGCCGCGUGAAUGAUGAAGGUCUUAGGAUUGUAAAAUUCUUUCACCGGGGACGAUAAUGACGGUACCCGGAGAAGAAGCUCCGGCUAACUUCGUGCCAGCAGCCGCGGUAAUACGAAGGGGGCUAGCGUUGCUCGGAAUUACUGGGCGUAAAGGGCGCGUAGGCGGACAGCUUAGUCAGAGGUGAAAGCCCAGGGCUCAACCUUGGAAUUGCCUUUGAUACUGGCUGUCUUGAGUUUGGGAGAGGUGAGUGGAACUCCGAGUGUAGAGGUGAAAUUCGUAGAUAUUCGGAAGAACACCAGUGGCGAAGGCGACUCACUGGCACAAUACUGACGCUGAGGCGCGAAAGCGUGGGGAGCAAACAGGAUUAGAAACCCCGGUAGUCC
rnacentral:rRNA from 1 species